CGGAAUUGGUCAGCUGUCCCCUAGAGUUCCCUCGACCACUUCUAUGAAAUUGUAAAUAACCCUCAAUUAAGUGAGGGCAAUUUUACCCCACUGAAGUGUUUGGGGGAACUCUGGUUGUCAUCUGACGUUGAUAAGUGGCUAUUAAGAAGAACUAGGGUAGCCGUUUACGUGUAUAUAUAUAUAUAUAGUAAUGAAUCUUUGAAUCUCUGAGGUAUGUAAGCUUCGAUCUUUCUCUGCAUUUCAUGUCUAACAAUUCCUUCCUUUCGCGUAUAGCAAAAGCGAUGAAACAUGGGAAGGGAAGCAAAUAGAGACGACGAACCCGCUGGCCGCAUGAACUGGAGGACUACAGACCAUAUGUACUUCAAGGGAUAGUGUGGAGCAGACAAGUGAAAUACGACAUCAUUGAAUGACGAUAUCCUUCAUUCUGGAAGACUUUUGAGCAAAUUUCUCAAAUUAUAUGUAAUUGCUCUUACUGAUAAAUACAAGCAGAAUGGGAAGCUCAGUUACUUAA